rnacentral:lncRNA from 1 species
CGCCUACUCCAUGUCUACUGGUGCUGUUGUGACGGAGAGCCAGACGUACAAAAACCGAGCUGGUUUCUUGGGUAAUGAUGAUUAUGCUGUAUAUGUGAGAGAGAAUAUUCAGUAUAUUUUAGAGAAAAUCCCCCAAAUCAUCUCAUUUCACCUGUAUAUAUGUCAUAGGAGUUAGGGUUGGAGGGUGAUUGGACCAGGCUGAAUCUCAGGCAGGAAGCUUCAUAGGCAUGUACUCCCUCCGGCCCCAUCUCAACAGGUGGGAAUGAUGGUUAGAUGCUGCCGAACAUACGAAGAAGUGUGCGAAGGUGAUGUGAUGUUGGCAAAGUCAUCAAGCUGGACAGAGAUGGAUUGCAUGAUCUCAAUGUGCAGUGUGACUGGCAGCAGAAAGGGGGCAUCUACUGGUUUAGGUACAUUCAUGUGGAACUUAUAGGCUAUCCUCCACCAAGAAGUUCUUCUCACAUCAAGAUUGGUGAUAAAGUGCGGGUCAAAGCCUCUGUCACCACACCAAAAUACAAAUGGGGAUCUGUGACUCAUC